GACUAGCCCCGACAGCAGCGGCAUCGUGUAGAGCGGAUGGCGGGAAUAGGG
rnacentral:misc_RNA from 1 species